AAUGAACGCUGGCGGCAUGCCUAACACAUGCAAGUCGAACGACCGCACGAGAAGCUCUCUCCUCUGCUGUUAGCGGCUGACGGGCGAGUAACACGUGGAUCACCUUCUUCUUUUUCUGGGAUAACUUCGGGAAACCGCUGAUACUACUAGCUCAUACUAUGUACCGCUUGGUUCAAAAGUUAAUCACACCUUUCGCGUCACUUUUAGCUGAAUUCGCGCUGCAUUAGCUAGUUGGUAAGGUAACGGCUUACCAAGGCGACGAUGCAUAGCCGACCUGAGAGGGUGAUCAGCCACACUGGAACUGAGACACGGUCCAGACUCCUACGGGAGGCAGCAGUGGGGAAUAUUGCGCAAUGGGCGAAAGCCUGACGGAGCAACGCCGCGUGAGUGAUGAAGGUCUUCGGAUCGUAAAGCUCUUUUAUUAGGGAAGAACAGAUGUGGAAGAAACUGUGGACAUCUUGACGGUACCUAAACAGAAAGCCACGGCUAACUACGUG
rnacentral:rRNA from 1 species